UACGAAGGUCCCAAGCGUUGUUCGGAAUCACUGGGCGUAAAGGGCGCGUAGGCGGCGUGGUAAGUCAGAUGUGAAAGCCCGGAGCUCAACUCCGGAACUGCCUUUAAGACUGCAUCGCUUGAAUCCAGGAGAGGUGAGUGGAAUUCCGAGUGUAGAGGUGAAAUUCGUAGAUAUUCGGAAGAACACCAGUGGCGAAGGCGGCUCACUGGACGACUGUUGACGCUGAGGUGCGAAAGCGUGGGGAGCAAACAGG
rnacentral:rRNA from 1 species